rnacentral:rRNA from 1 species
CUGGCUCAGAGCGAACGCUGGCGGCAUGGAUUAGGCAUGCAAGUCGAACGAAGCAGCAAUGCUUAGUGGCGCAAGGGUGAGGAACACGUGAGUGACCUACCCGCAAGUUUGGAACAGCUCCUGGAAACGGGAAUUAAUACCGGAUGUGAUCAUGAAGCUGCAUGGUUUCAUGAUUAAAGCAGUAAUGCGCUUGCGGAUGGGCUCGCGUCCCAUUAGCUAGUUGGUGAGGUAACGGCCCACCAAGGCCAUGAUGGGUAGCUGGUCUGAGAGGACGACCAGCCACACUGGGACUGAGAACUGCCCAGACUCCUACGGGAGGCUGCAGUCGAGAAUUUUGGGCAAUGGACGAAAGUCUGACCCAGCAAUGCCGCGUGCGGGAUGAAGGUCUUCGGAUUGUAAACCGCUGUUUGGAGGGACGAAAAUUGACGGUACCUCCAGAGGAAGCCACGGCUAACUACGUGCCAGCCGCCGC